rnacentral:rRNA from 1 species
UGCAAGUCGAACGAACUUCCGUUAAUUGAUUAUGACGUACUUGUACUGAUUGAGAUUUUAACACGAAGUGAGUGGCGAACGGGUGAGUAACACGUGGGUAACCUGCCCAGAAGUAGGGGAUAACACCUGGAAACAGAUGCUAAUACCGUAUAACAGAGAAAACCGCAUGGUUUUCUUUUAAAAGAUGGCUCUGCUAUCACUUCUGGAUGGACCCGCGGCGUAUUAGCUAGUUGGUGAGGUAAAGGCUCACCAAGGCAGUGAUACGUAGCCGACCUGAGAGGGUAAUCGGCCACAUUGGGACUGAGACACGGCCCAGACUCCUACGGGAGGCAGCAGUAGGGAAUCUUCCACAAUGGACGCAAGUCUGAUGGAGCAACGCCGCGUGAGUGAAGAAGGGUUUCGGCUCGUAAAGCUCUGUUGUUAAAGAAGAACGUGGGUAAGAGUAACUGUUUACCCAGUGACGGUAUUUAACCAGAAAGCCACGGCUAACUACGUGCCAGCAGCCGCGGUAAUACGUAGGUGGCAAGCGUUAUCCGGAUUUAUUGGGCGUAAAGCGAGCGCAGGCGGUCUUUUAAGUCUAAUGUGAAAGCCUUCGGCUCAACCGAAGAAGUGCAUUGGAAACUGGGAGACUUGAGUGCAGAAGAGGACAGUGGAACUCCAUGUGUAGCGGUGAAAUGCGUAGAUAUAUGGAAGAACACCAGUGGCGAAGGCGGCUGUCUGGUCUGCAACUGACGCUGAGGCUCGAAAGCAUGGGUAGCG